CCUUCUGCAGCAUGAGGUGUCUCUGUCCACGGGGGGAACAAAGCAGGGAGCCAGAGGACAUGUCCUGGCUCCAGACACUGAGGACUGGCCACCACAGCAGGGACAAAUGACAAGGAUGACCAGAGAUAUGAACCAGCUUCCUCAACAAGAAUGAAUAAAGAGACUGGGGGUCUUCAGCCUCCGAGACUGAAAGGAGAUGAAUUCACACAGUCAAGCAGAGGAGAUAUGAAUUUUCUGGGACUUUGGAGCUGUCGUUGCUGAGAGAACUGAAAACAUCAGCUAAGAAUAUCAGGUCACACAACCACUCGAUAUUACUUAAUCGAGAGCAGCUGGGAGCCUAAUGCAGACACUAGGAAGAUGGAAAGGUCCCUGUGUCUCCAGGACGCAACCCUCCCUGCAGCGGCAGGUG